rnacentral:rRNA from 1 species
AUUGAACGCUGGCGGCAGGCUUAACACAUGCAAGUCGAGCGAGCGGCGGACGGGUGAGUAAUGUAUGGGAAACUGCCUGAUGGAGGGGGAUAACUACUGGAAAUGGUAGCUAAUACCGCAUACCAUCAGAUGUGCCCAGAUGGGAUUAGCUAGUAGGUGGGGUAAUGGCUUACCUAGGCGACGAUCCAUAGUUGGUCUGAGAGGAUGACCGGCCACACUGGGACUGAGACACGGUCCAGACUCCUACGGGAGGCAGCAGUGGGGAAUAUUGCACAAUGGGCGAAAGCCUGAUGGAGCAAUGCCGCGUGUGUGAAGAAGGCCUUCGGAUUGUAAAGCACUUUCAGCGAGGAGGCGGUACUCGCCGAAGAAGCAACGGCUAACUCCGUGCCAGCAGCCGCGGUAAUUC